UACGUAGGGGGCAAGCGUUGUCCGGAUUUACUGGGCGUAAAGAGCGUGUAGGCGGUCGGGUAAGUCGGAUGUGAAAUCCCAGGGCUCAACCCUGGAACUGCAUUCGAUACUGCCUGGCUAGGGUACUGGAGAGGAGACUGGAAUUUACGGUGUAGCAGUGAAAUGCGUAGAUAUCGUAAGGAAGACCAGUGGCGAAGGCGAGUCUCUGGACAGUUACCGACGCUGAGGCACGAAGGCCAGGGGAGCAAACGGG
rnacentral:rRNA from 1 species